ACAGCUGGGGGGAGGGAGGCCAGGGGUGGGUGGUGGUAACAUCGACAACAAACACUCGCUGCCACUCCCACUGGGUUGAUCUUUCGGAGGAGAGGCAGAGGCCCCAGGCGGGAGGAGGCUUUGAUGGAAGGAAGCUGGAGGAAGGAGCCCAGGCAUCCCUUAACCCCUACUUGGACUGGAGGCCUCCCAGCAGCAGUGGAGGGAGCCCGGGACACUUCCCAGCUCGCGCGCAAAAGGCGUUGGCUUCAUCCUCUCUCAUUUAGUCUCUGCUGCUGCCCGGGUGCCCUGGGCCUAGUGACACCGCCCGCAGCCACGUCGGCCCCCCGCGGUGAGCUCAGAGGCCGCGCAGGAACAGCUGGACGCGAGCACCAUCGGCCCGCUGGCGUUCCCGGAACCACUUCAGGUCUGCCCUCUUGCCUCAGGUCCUUUGCACCGGCCAUCCCCUCCCUUUCCCCGGAAU